CAGUAGCCACGGGAAUACGAAGGGGGCUAGCGUUGUUCGGAAUCACUGGGCGUAAAGCGCACGUAGGCGGACUUUUAAGUCAGGGGUGAAAUCCCAAGGCUCAACCCUGGAACUGCCUUUGAUACUGUCGAUCUGGAGUAUGGAAGAGGUGAGUGGAAUUCCGAGUGUAGAGGUGAAAUUCGUAGAUAUUCGGAGGAACACCAGUGGCGAAGGCGGCUCACUGGUCCAUUACUGACGCUGAGGUGCGAAAGCGUGGGGAGCAAACAGGAUUAGAUACCCCUGUAGUCCCUGUCUCUUAUAC
rnacentral:rRNA from 1 species